UUUCCGUAGGUGAACCUGCGGAAGGAUCAUUAUUGAAUAAACCUGAUGUGGUUGUAGCUGGCCCUUUCGGGAGCAUGUGCACACCCGUCGUCUUUAUCUUUCCACCUGUCCACCUUUUGUAGACCUGGAUGUAACACUUUCCGAGGCAACUCGGUCGGGAGGAAUGCUGUCAGCUUUCCUUGAAUGUCCAGGCCUAUGUUUUCAUAUACCCCAAAGAAUGUAACAGAAUGUAUUAUUGGGCCUUGUGCCUAUAAACUAUAUACAACUUUCAGCAACGGAUCUCUUGGCUCUC
rnacentral:misc_RNA from 1 species